rnacentral:rRNA from 1 species
GGCGUAAGCGCGCGCAGGUGGUUUCUUAAGUCUGAUGUGAAAGCCCACGGCUCAACCGGGGAGGGGCAUUGGAAACUGGGAGACUUGAGUGCAGAAGAGGAAGGUGGAAUUCCCUGUGUAGCGGUGAAAUGCGUAGAUAUAUGGAGGAACACCAGUGGCGAAGGCGACUUUCUGGUCUGUUACUGACACUGAGGCGCGAAAGCGUGGGGAGCAAACAGGAUUAGAUACCCUGGUAGUCCACGCCGUAAACGAUGACUGCUAAGCGUUGGAAGCCUUCCGCCCUUUAUGGCUGAACUUAACGCUUUAAUUGAUCCGCCGGGGAAGUACGGCCGCAGGGCUGAACUUCAAUGGAUUUGACGGGGGCCCGCACAACCGGGGAACCUGGUGGUUUAUUUCAAACCACCCCGAAAAACCUUACCAGG